GGGCGCGUCGCCAAGCUGGCCAAGGCGCCGGAUUUUGAUUCCGGUUAUCGCAGGUUCGAGUCCUGCCGCGCUUGCCA
rnacentral:tRNA from 1 species